CCUACGGGGGGCAGCAGUAGGGAAUCUUCCGCAAUGGACGAAAGUCUGACGGAGCAACGCCGCGUGAGUGAAGAAGGAUUUCGGUUCGUAAAGCUCUGUUGUUAGGGCAGAAAGGUUGUGUAGUAACUAUACACAAAACAGACGGUACCUAACCAGAAAGCCACGGCUAACUACGUGCCAGCAGCCGCGGUAAUACGUAGGUGGCAAGCGUUGUCCGGAAUUAUUGGGCGUAAAGCGCGCGCAGGUGGUUUAGAAAGUCUGAUGUGAAAGCCCACGGCUCAACCGUGGAAGGUCAUUGGAAACUGAUAAACUUGAGUGCAGGAGAGAAAAGUGGAAUUCCUAGUGUAGCGGUGAAAUGCGUAGAGAUUAGGAGGAACACCAGUGGCGAAGGCGGCUUUUUGGCCUGCAACUGACACUGAGGCGCGAAAGCGUGGGGAGCAAACAGGAGUAGAUACCCCUGUAGUC
rnacentral:rRNA from 1 species